AUCUGGGAAAGCUCAGUCGGUAAAGCGUGAGACUCUUAAUAUCAGGGUUGUGGGUUCGAGUUCCACGCUGGGCA